CAGAGUGAACGCUGGCGGCAGGCCUAACACAUGCAAGUCGAGCGCAGCGCGUCCGACCACCCUCGGGUGGUCGGAUGGCGGCGAGGCGGCGGACGGGUGAGGAAUGCAUCGGAAUCUGCCUCGUUGUGGGGGAUAACGUAGGGAAACUUACGCUAAUACCGCAUACGACCUACGGGUGAAAGUGGGGGACCUUCGGGCCUCACGCGAUGAGAUGAGCCGAUGCCGGAUUAGCUAGUUGGCGGGGUAAAGGCCCACCAAGGCGACGAUCCGUAGCUGGUCUGAGAGGAUGAUCAGCCACACUGGAACUGAGACACGGUCCAGACUCCUACGGGAGGCAGCAGUGGGGAAUAUUGGACAAUGGGGGCAACCCUGAUCCAGCCAUGCCGCGUGUGUGAAGAAGGCCUUCGGGUUGUAAAGCACUUUUGUUGGGGAAGAAACCGGCCGGGUUAAUACCCUGGUUGAAUGACGGUACCCAAAGAAUAAGCACCGGCUAACUUCGUG
rnacentral:rRNA from 1 species